rnacentral:rRNA from 1 species
AUUGAACGCUGGCGGCAUGCCUUACACAUGCAAGUCGAACGGCAGCACGGGAGCAAUCCUGGUGGCGAGUGGCGAACGGGUGAGUAAUAUAUCGGAACGUGCCCAGUCGUGGGGAUAACGUAGCGAAAGCUACGCUAAUACCGCAUACGAUCUAUGGAUGAAAGCGGGGGAUCGCAAGACCUCGCGCGAUUGGAGCGGCCGAUAUCAGAUUAGGUAGUUGGUGAGGUAAAGGCUCACCAAGCCGACGAUCC